rnacentral:rRNA from 1 species
AAUAUGCCACAACGGGCGCAAGGCUGAUGCAGCAACGCCUCCUGCCCGAGGACGGCCAUCGGGUUGUUAAGGGCUUUUCUGACUGCCUAGGAAGUACGCUAGGCCUGCAAUAAGCGUCGGCGAACUACGUGCCAGCAGCCGCGGUAAAACGUAGGACGCGAGCGUCAUCCGGAUUUACGGGGCGUAAAGCGCGGGCAGGCGGUGGUCCAAGUCGGACGUGAAAGCUCCCGGCUCAGCUGGGAGAGGUCGUUCGAAACUGGGCCGCUAGAGGGCAGUAGAGGGGCGUGGAAUUCCGGGUGGAGUGGUGAAAUGCGUAGAGAUCCGGAGGAACACCAGAGGCGAAGGCGGCGCCCUGGGCUGCACCUGACGCUGAGCCGCGAAAGCUAGGGGAGCGAACGGG